AGGUUAAGUUAACAAGGGCGCAUGGUGAAUGCCUUGGCACUAGGAGCCGAUGAAGGACGGGACUAACACCGAUAUGCUUCGGGGAGCUGUACGUAAGCUAUGAUCCGGAGAUUUCCGAAUGGGGCAACCCAGCAGUUUUAAUCAACUGUUACCACUAGAUGAAUUCAUAGUCUAGUUGGAGGUAAACGCUGUGAACUGAAACAUCUCAUUAGCAGCAGGAAUAUAAAGAAAUUUCGAUUCCCUAAGUAGCGGCGAGCGAACGGGGAACAGCCCAAACCAAAGUGCUUGCACUUUGGGGUUGUAGGACUGAACAUUUGAGUUACCAAAGAACUUGAUAGUCGAAGGAUUUGGGAAAAUCCGCCAUAGAUGGUGAUAGCCCAGUAGAUUAAAUCAAAUUCUCUCAGUUCAGGAUCCUGAGUACGGCGGAACACGUGAAAUUCCGUCGGAAUCCGGGAGGACCAUCUCCCAAGGCUAAAUACUACCUAGUGACCGAUAGUGAACCAGUACCGUGAGGGAAAGGUGAAAAGCACCCCGGGAGGGGAGUGAAAUAGUUCCUGAAACCAUGUGCCUACAAUAAGUCAGAGCGCGUUAAUGCGUGAUGGCGUGCCUUUUGUAGAAUGAACCGGCGAGUUAUGAUCCCGUGCAAGGUUAAGACUAAAAAGUCGGAGCCGUAGCGAAAGCGAGUCUGAAAUGGGCGUUUUGAGUACGAGGUUAUAGACCCGAAACCAGGUGACCUAUCCAUGUCCAGGUUGAAGGUGCGGUAAAACGCACUGGAGGACCGAACCCGUGUAAGUUGAAAAUUGCUGGGAUGAGGUGUGGAUAGCGGUGAAAUUCCAAACGAACUUGGAGAUAGCUGGUUCUCUCCGAAAUAGCUUUAGGGCUAGCCUCGGAAUUAGGAUCAUGGAGGUAGAGCACUAUUUGGACUAGGGGCCCGUCUUGGGUUACUGAAUUCAGAUAAACUCCGAAUGCCAUUGAUUCAUAUCCGGGAGUCAGACGAUGAGUGAUAAGAUCCACCGUCGAAAGGGGAACAGCCCAGACCAUCAGUUAAGGUCCCUAAAUGUAUGCUAAGUGGAAAAGGAUGUGGAGUUGCAUAGACAACUAGGAUGUUGGCUCAGAAGCAGCCACCAUUUAAAGAGUGCGUAAUAGCUCACUAGUCGAGUGAUCCUGCGCCGAAAAUGUACCGGGGCUAAGCAUACUACCGAAACCAUGGAUGCGACCAUUAGGUCGCGUGAUAGGAGAGCGUUCUAAGGGCGGUGAAGCAAGAUCGUGAGGACUUGUGGAGCGCUUAGAAGUGAGAAUGCCGGUAUGAGUAGCGAAAGAUAGGUGAGAAUCCUAUCCACCGAAUGACUAAGGUUUCCUGGGGAAGGCUCGUCCUCCCAGGGUUAGUCGGGACCUAAGUCGAGGCCGAGAGGCGUAGACGAUGGAUAACAGGUUGAGAUUCCUGUACUAGUUAAGUGCGUUUGAGCAAUGGAGGGACGCAGGAGGCUAAGAUGUGCAUUCUGUUGGAUUAGAAUGUCCAAGCAGUAAGUCUUGUGAAGAGUCAAAUGCUUUUCACUUUAAGGACAAGCUGUGAUGGGGAGCGAAAUUUAGUAGCGAAGCGUCUGAUGUCACACUGCCGAGAAAAGCUUCUAGUGAGUACUUAACUACCCGUACCGCAAACCGACACAGGUAGUCGAGGAGAGAAUCCUAAGGUGAGCGAGUGAACUCUCGUUAAGGAACUCGGCAAAAUGACCCCGUAACUUCGGGAGAAGGGGUGCUGAUCGCAAGAUUAGCCGCAGUGAAUAGGCCCAGGCGACUGUUUAUCAAAAACACAGGUCUCUGCAAAAUCGUAAGAUGACGUAUAGGGGCUGACGCCUGCCCGGUGCUGGAAGGUUAAAAGGAUGGGUUAGCUUCGGCGAAGCUCAGAAUUGAAGCCCCAGUAAACGGCGGCCGUAACUAUAACGGUCCUAAGGUAGCGAAAUUCCUUGUCGGGUAAGUUCCGACCCGCACGAAAGGCGUAACGAUCUGGGCACUGUCUCAACGAGAGACUCGGUGAAAUUAUAUUGUCCGUGAAGAUGCGGACUACCCGCGACAGGACGGAAAGACCCCAUGGAGCUUUACUGUAGCUUGAUAUUGAGUGUUUGUACAGCUUGUACAGGAUAGGUAGGAGCCAUAGAAACCGGAACGCUAGUUUCGGUGGAGGCGUUGGUGGGAUACUACCCUCGCUGUAUGACCACUCUAACCCGCACCACUAAUCGUGGUGGGAGACAGUGUCAGGUGGGCAGUUUGACUGGGGCGGUCGCCUCCUAAAAAGUAACGGAGGCGCCCAAAGGUUCCCUCAGAAUGGUUGGAAAUCAUUCGCAGAGUGUAAAGGCACAAGGGAGCUUGACUGCGAGACAGACAGGUCGAGCAGGGACGAAAGUCGGGCUUAGUGAUCCGGUGGUACCGUAUGGAAGGGCCAUCGCUCAACGGAUAAAAGCUACCCUGGGGAUAACAGGCUUAUCUCCCCCAAGAGUCCACAUCGACGGGGAGGUUUGGCACCUCGAUGUCGGCUCAUCGCAUCCUGGGGCUGUAGUCGGUCCCAAGGGUUGGGCUGUUCGCCCAUUAAAGCGGUACGCGAGCUGGGUUCAGAACGUCGUGAGACAGUUCGGUCCCUAUCCGUCGCGGGCGUAGGAAAUUUGAGAGGACCUGUCCUUAGUACGAGAGGACCGGGAUGGACAUACCUCUGGUGUACCAGUUGUGCCGCCAGGCGCAUCGCUGGGUAGCUACGUAUGGAUGUGAUAAACGCUGAAAGCAUCUAAGUGUGAAACACACCUCGAGAUGAGAUUUCCCAUUCCUUUAUGGAAGUAAGACCCCUGAAAGAUGAUCAGGUAGAUAGGUUAGAAGUGGCAGUGCGGUGACGCAUGAAGCGGACUAAUACUAAUCGGUCGAGGACUUAACCAAG
rnacentral:rRNA from 1 species